rnacentral:rRNA from 1 species
UACGGGGGGAGCAAGCGUUGUUCGGAUUUACUGGGCGUAAAGGGCGCGUAGGCGGCGCAACAAGUCACUUGUGAAAUCUCCGGGCUUAACCCGGAGCGGCCAAGUGAUACUGUCGUGCUAGAGUGCGGAAGGGGCUACUGGAAUUCUCGGUGUAGCGGUGAAAUGCGUAGAUAUCGAGAGGAACACCUGCGGCGAAGGCGGGUAGCUGGGCCGACGCUGACGCUGAGGCGCGAAAGCCAGGGGAGCGAACGGG